rnacentral:rRNA from 1 species
GACGAACGCUGGCGGCGUGCUUAACACAUGCAAGUCGAACGGAAAGGCCUCUUUCGGGGGGUACUCGAGUGGCGAACGGGUGAGUAACACGUGAGUAACCUGCCCUUGACUUUGGGAUAACUUCAGGAAACUGGGGCUAAUACCGGAUAGGAGCUCCUGCUGCAUGGUGGGGGUUGGAAAGUUUCGGCGGUUGGGGAUGGGCUCGCGGCUUAUCAGCUUGUUGGUGGGGUAGUGGCUUACCAAGGCUUUGACGGGUAGCCGGCCUGAGAGGGUGACCGGCCACAUUGGGACUGGGAUACGGCCCAGACUCCUACGGGGGGCAGCAGUGGGGAAUAUUGCACAAUGGGUGGAAGCCUGAUGCAGCAACGCCGGGUGCGGGAUGACGGCCUUCGGGUUGUAAACCGCUUUCGCUCAUGACGAAGCUUUGUGUGACGGUAGUGGGUAAAGAAGCACCGGCUAACUACGUG